GCCUAACACAUGCAAGUCGAACGCAUCUCUUCGGAGAUGAGUGGCGAACGGGUGCGUAACACGUGAGCAACCUGCCCCCAUGUGGGGGAUAACCAGGGGAAACCCUGGCUAAUACCGCAUAUGUCGCGUGGCCUGAUGGCUGUGUGAUGAAAGCUUUAUGUGCGUGGGGAGGGGCUCGCGGGGUAUCAGCUAGUUGGUGAGGUAAUGGCUCACCAAGGCGAUGACGCCUAGCCGGUCUGAGAGGAUGGCCGGCCACAUUGGGACUGAGAUACGGCCCAGACUCCUACGGGAGGCAGCAGUGGGGAAUCUUGCGCAAUGGGCGAAAGCCUGACGCAGCGACGCCGUGUGCGGGAGGAAGCCUUUCGGGGUGUAAACCGCUGUCAGAGGGGACGAAAUUGACGGUACCCUCAGAGGAAGCACCGGCUAACUCCGUGCCAGCAGCCGCGGUAAUACGGAGGGUGCGAGCGUUGUUCGGAAUUACUGGGCGUAAAGCGCACGUAGGCGGCUUCUUAAGUCCACCUGUGAAAUGCCGGGGCUCAACCCCGUGCCUGCAGGGGAUACUGGGAGGCUGGAGACAUGUAGAGGCUAGUGGAAUUCCGGGUGUAGCGGUGGAAUGCGUAGAGAUCCGGAAGAACACCUGAGGCGAAGGGGCUAGCUGGGCAUGAUCUGACGCUGAGGUGCGAAAGCGUGGGGAGCGAACAGGAUUAGAUACCCGGUAGUCCACGCUGUAAACGAUGGGCACUGGAUGCUGGGGGGAUCGACCCUCUCGGUGUCGUAGCUAACGCGAUAAGUGCCCCGCCUGGGGAGUACGGCCGCAAGGCUGAAACUCAAAGGAAUUGACGGGGGCCCGCACAGGCGGUGGAGCAUGUGGUUUAAUUCGAAGCAACGCGAAGAACCUUACCUAGGCUUGACAUGCUAGUGAAACUCUGGUGAAAGCCGGAGCCCUCUUCGGAGCACUAGCACAGGUGCUGCAUGGCUGUCGUCAGCUCGUGUCGUGAGAUGUUGGGUUAAGUCCCGCAACGAGCGCAACCCCUAUUCUCUGUUGCUAACGGGUAAAGCCGAGGACUCUGAGAAGACUGCCGGUGACAAACCGGAGGCAGGUGGGGACGACGUCAAGUCAUCAUGGUCCUUACGUCUAGGGCUACACACGUGCUACAAUGGCAGGGACAAACCGCUGCAAGCCCGCGAGGGGGAGCGAAUCGGAGAAACCCUGUCUAAGUUCGGAUUGCAGUCUGUAACUCGACUGCAUGAAGUUGGAAUCGCUAGUAAUCGUGGAUCAGCUACGCCACGGUGAAUACGUUCCCGGGCCUUGUACACACCGCCCGUCACGCCAUGGAAGUCGGGAGUGCCCGAAGUCCGUGACCCAACCUUAGGGAGGGAGCGGCCGAAGGCGAGCUCGAUGACUGGGGCGAAGUCGUAACAAGGUAGCCGUAGGGGAACCUGCGGCUGGAUCACCUCCUU
rnacentral:rRNA from 1 species